GAGUGGACAUAUGAGGCGAGGCGCGCGAGGUGGAGAAGCAGGGCACGUGCAUUCGUUCCAGCUCGCCGCCGGUGUGCCGCGCCGCGGCCUGGGCGCGCGUGUCGCCCGAGCGGCCGGCCAUGCGCGUGUGUGUGCAUGCAUGUGCCCUUCUUCUCCACCGCGCAAGCCUCGCCUGCGAACGCGCGCGCACGCC
rnacentral:pre_miRNA from 1 species